GCAGAGGGCAGUCGGGUCCCGGCAGUGGCUGCAGAGCUCUCGUCUUCUGUGGCUCUCCGAGCCCUCUCCUUUUCGCUUCCGGAAACAUGGCCUCCGGUAUGGCUGUGUGAUGGUGUCAUGAACAUGUUCAACGGCAUGAAGGUGCGUAAGUCUUCAAUGCCAGAGGAGGUGAAGAAGCACAAGAAGGCAGUGCUCUUCUGCCUUGGUGAGGACAAGAAGAACGUCAUCAAGAAGAUCCUGGUGGGCAAUGUGGGCCAGACUAUCGACAACCCCUGUGCCACCUUUGUCAGGAUGCUGCCAGAUAAGGACUGCCACUACGCCCUCUAUGACACAGCCUACAGGACCAAGGAGAGCAAGAAGGAGGACCUGGUGUUUAUCUUCUGGGUCCCUGAGUCUGCGCCCCUUAACAGCAAAAUGACCUAUUCCAGCUCCAAGGAUUCCAUCAAGAAGAACCUGACAGGGGUCAAGCAUGAAUUACACGCAAACUGCUAUGAGGAGGUCAAGGACCGCUGCACCCUGGCAGAGAAGCUGGGGGGCAGUGCAGUCAUCUCCCUGGAGGACAAGCCUUUGUGAGCCCCUUCUGGUGCCCUGCCUGGAGCAUCUGGCAGCCCCACAUCUACUGUUGGGGGUUGCAGGCUGUUCCCUUCCUCUCAGACCUGAAGGGCUGGGGAGGAUCCCAGCAGAGGGAGUGCAAUCCCUUCACCC